rnacentral:tRNA from 1 species
GUCAGGAUAGCUCAGCCGGUAGAGCAGAGGACUGAA